GGAAGAAGCAGGGACUGAGGGCUGUGGAAGGGCAGGAGGAACUGUAGCUGGGGCUGUGGCAGAAGCCAGGGGGUGAAUCCUACAGCUCCCAGAAUUUGUUCUGGGGUCCCAGACUGUCCUUCUGGCCUUUGGGUCCCGGAAGCUCUGGGUUAAGAGUCUGGACAUGUCUUCCUGCGCUCCUGGAGGCUUAUCAAAGGCUCGCUUCCCAGAGCAGCGGAGAACUCAGACCUAGGGCAGCGGUCGGCGCCGGGCAGCGCGGGCCCCUGGACACAGGAGGCGCCGUCCUCCGCCGCACGGCCCGGGGCUGCGGGCGUCUGCGCAGGGCUGUUCGCUCCCUGCGCUCGCACGGCCAGGGCCCCGCCGCUCCCAGGUCCUUAAUGAGAGAGAUCAGAGCAGGAAAAGAGAGACAGAGGGUGACACAGGAGCCUUUGGGGACAAACCCACUGUGGCCUGAAUGAUGGCUUCACCGGGACCAGACUCUGUUCCUAGCUAGGCUUGAUGCUGACUCCUUGAGAGCAGGGACCAAGCCUGGCCUGGAAUUCCUUAUCUGCCCUGCAGCACCCAGGCCGGGGUGGCCCUCAGUAUAUACCCAGGGACCUAAUGCCUGUCUGAAGACUUUGGACAGUUCCUCCUAUUGCUUUAUUUCUGGUUGUGGACAGGGUGACCCAGGUCACAUGUCUGCAGGGACAGGACUGAGCUAAAGCCUGAGCCCUGCACCCCGGAAGCGGUGGGAUCUCCUCCUCCUGCAUCUCAUCAGGCAGAUUACGAAGGCGCAGCUGUCUCCACCUCAUGCUUUUCGGUGCGGCCUGGUGGGGGCUCCUCAGCUUUCUCAUGUACCAGGUGUAUGG
ensembl:lncRNA